AAUGCCCGUUUUUAUGAUUCAGAAAUAUCCCGCGGCAAACCUAUUGUGAUGUUAUACCAGGAACAAUUAAAUGGACCAAAGCAAUGCAAUUAAGGCAGAGAAGAAAUAAGAUGGCAAAUGGGGAGAAAUAAACAGAUUCUUUCCCAUUAAGUAUUGUUUUGAGAUUUCUAAUUUUUUCAAGACCUCUAAGAAAAUUGUGAGGUGUCACUUCUCUCUUCUGGGUCUAUCUGUAAUUGAAUCUAGGUCACUAUUCUAAAGCAAGAAAAGUCUGCUUUCCACUUUCCUACAUCAGGCUGAAAUUUGGGGGAGGGACAAGGGUCUUGCAGUUUCAUUUAAAAUGUAAUGGUGGAUGAACUGAUAAGCAAAUAGGGAAAAAAGAGUCUGCUUAAAAGAAAAAAAAAAGGCAUGGUUUUAAUAUGCUACAGAUGGGGGGAAAAUGAUUUACAUGAGAGUUUAUUUCCUCUUUGCUGAUAUGAAAGAAUUACAGAUACAAAACCCACUGAUCUAUAGAAUAAAAAAAGAAAAGAAAUGUUAUUUUCCUGUAAAGGUGUCAGUUCAUUUAUAUUCAUUUAACCAUCCAUCCAUCAAUUCACUUUCUCACUCCUUGCACAUUCUCUCUGGCUCUGUUAAACCUUCGCCUACCAAUAGACUUUGCUAGAAUAUGCAAUGAAGUUUUCUUUUAAAAAAUAAUGUGAGAUUAAGAUGAAGUAGGUAAAGAUAAGUAAAGAGAGAAGGUUUUGUCAUUGUUGUUAAAUAAUUACCCCCUAAUAAUUCAGCAUUAUGUUUUAUGAUUGUAGAACAAAAUUUUACCCAUAUUCACAUCUCGUUACUGCUGCAGUUCGAGUACAUACAACAUGCCAGUGGUUAAGAAUAUAUGCAAAGGAUAUGCAAUUAUUUUUUCAUAAGAUAUGCAUGCAAUACAAAGAAAUUUAUUAGUUAUAAACCUUCCUGUAACAUAAAAAAUGCAGCAAAAGAUGAGUCAGAUGUUGGGUCAAUAAUUCAUUGUUUUAUUAAAACAGCUGUUGUCAUAAGUAUGAACUAGUUCACAUUUCCCUAAGGAUUUCCUGCUUGCUCAAGGUAUGAGCAACAUCAAAUCUUUUAUGUUUGAAGUUUCCAGGUCCAAAUAAAUGUAUAGUAAAAUUUGCAUAUAUUAACAAAGAAAUGAGGGGGGCAGUCAUUUGAGGAGCUUCCAAGUGCUAGAGAAGAUUACAUAAGAAUAGGUUUUACUUUUCCUGAAAUAAAAAUUGAUGACCAGUAUGACAGAUAUUUCCUCCAUAUUCUCCGAAAUAAAGGGGUAAUAUAGUGUCAUCCCCUCUUUCAAUGACACGCAAAUGAAUGACUAGAGACCUAUAGACCUAAGCAAGGACAAGACCAACAACCAGCAUCUGAUGCUGGUUUUCAUAAGUAAGAAAAACAGUACAUUGUUUAAGACAGCAAUGCAUUCUCACAGGAUGAAUCUUCUCCAGACUGAAGACCAUUUCCUUCAACCUUUUUUUUUUCUGUCUUAUCCCUUUUUCCUCCUCUUGUUUAGUUUUCUUUUCUUUUCUUCUUUUUUUAACCUGUAAAUACUAUUGAUGACUCAGAAAUUUUCUUUCUAGGUCUUCAUAAAUUAUCAGCAUAAUUCUUUGUCAUGCCUGUUUCUUGCUGGCCUCACUUUCUCUCACUGUGGUAAUCCAUUUUCUUACUCACCUAACUUUUAAUCGACCAAACUGAGCAUGAGGCAGAAGGAUGAACAGUUUGGGCAGAAGUUAAAAUGUCUCAUGUAUGUUUUGACUCAAACUCUAUAGACUUAUUUGUAGCAAGUGCUUAUGACAUAAAUCAGCUGGAUGAGAGGGCAGCUUUAAGGCAUUUUAGAAUUGUUUCUUACCAUUGUCUUUUACUUCCUGGGCUCUUCAGUGUUUGUCAUAAUUAUACCUAGUUAGAAGGCUUCAUUUGCUUUGAGUUAUCAUUGAGAACUAAAUUGAGAAGAAAAGAACUGAAGGCCUGAAGAUAUGUCAUCUGUAGAAAAGGUGAGCUGAACUUUUCUCUGUCUGAAUAUACUUUGAGUUUACAAUGAGACAUUUACGUAUUUGUAUAUAUCGGUUAUACUCUGAGCUAAUGUGAACACAAACUUGGUAUAAAUACAGAUGACUCCCUCUCUGCUGCUGUGGCAGGUUCAUCUGACACCUGGGGCUCAGACCAGUCUUUUUAACACAUGCUUGGUGAAAUUCAAAGUGUAUCACACAACUACAGCAGCAUUCAUGGCCAACCUAUUUGGUAGGAAGGAUUGAAAUCAGAUGGGAGGUCAAUUUGCUGUCUAAAUCAAACAAACUUAGCUCCUUUGCAGAUAAUUGAAGAUGCUGCAACAUUGCCUGAAAACAUUUUAUAAUAAACAGAUGAAAUAAGUGAUAAUGAAGGUGGGUUUGGAUUUUUUAUUUUAGAAGGAGAUAUUUCAUAGAAAAUAUGAAUCCUUGUCUCAUGAUUAGUGUCUCUCUGCAACAGCCUCAUCCUUCUGCAGAUGAUCUCUUCUCAAGCUUUCUUGGCAAAUCAAGAGCUUCUGCCUUUUGGGGGACAUCCUCUUGACCUCCCACCCAUGUCAGCUCUUAGAGGACAUUCCACAGGAACAUUGUCUUCUUGUCUUCCGGUAUUUUUUAUGGAAACAGAAAUUAGGUUAUCUUCCCUAUGCUCUAGACGGACAUCUGAAAUCAUCAAACCCUUGAGAGAAAGAGCCCUCAUUCUUUUUUGAGACGACCUGGAAGAAAACAGGACUCUGAAGAUUUGUCUCCAUAUUCUCUGGAAAGAUGUACUCUGUUUGCAAUAAGAGGGAGCCACAUGGCUUAUCAGAUGGUUGUUAACUGAGCAUUCUGUGCAAAGAAUUUGUGCCUUAGAUUUAGAAUUCCACCCUCAGCUGGAAUACAGAUGAUCCCUAACAAGUCACAUGAAAAAAUGAAUUGUGGAGCCAGAAGAGUGAGUCCUUGGAGAACUAAGGGCCAGAGACCUGUGAGCAAGAUUUGAUAAUUUUAUAAAAAUUAAAAGAUGAUUUGAAAUGUUA